GGAAAGUAUAAGCUUAUGCCCUUGAAGAUUUUCUUGGAUACAGCUAUUGUGAGCAAGACAGGUCUUCAUGAUCCUUGUAUAUAUUAUAUGAUACAUAUUUUGUGUAAAAUAUACACAGUGAAAUGAUGCAGUAUACUUUAUAGAUCAAGAGAUUAUUCUCUUUCUACUGCUCUAGUUGUUCGAGCUAGUUCUCCUGUAUGAUAUGUAAAAAUGUCAUGUGAUUUAUACACACAUUUAUACUGUGAUACUCACUUAGAAUCUCUUACAUUUAUUAGCUCUGACUUUCACCAUCUACAACAAAAUAAAUAUAGAUACAUUCUAGUUAACCAUUCUGGACACACUUUAUCAAAUAGCAGCAUGAAAGUCAUCCUCUGAUCCCCUAUCCUGUUUUCCUUCUUCUCCCUUUACUUAAAUGCUCCUUUGUUGCAUAGCAUGAAACUGGAUUAUGUGAGACUGAGUUGCCUAUCAUGUCAGAGGGUGUUUCAAAAAUGCUAUAGCAAUAUGGUACUUUCCUUCCAGAAAGAGUCUUGGUUUUAUGAAUAUUCCCAGAGAGUCCAAGGGAUCCAGCAGGAAUCAAACCCCCAAGAUUUGAAAGUGCUACCUGUUCUUGGACCAGACAUUUUCUGCUUGGACCAUACCUUUUUCUGAAAUAAUAAAAACUGAGGAGUACAAAGAGACAGUGCCAUAGAAACUCUGCAUCACAACCAAGAGCAUCAUCAGGAGCAGCAGCAGCAGCAGCCCUGGCAGGAGCCAGAGCCCGGCAGCCGAGGCUGCAGCCAGCCGCCUGCCGUCCCCUACCUGCACCGUCACCCCGCCACAGCACCGGCAGCGGCCCCGCUGCUCCCCAACGGGGGCAGGAAUAGGGGAGAGGGAGCUGAGGGAGGUGCACUGCAGAGGGAUCCCAGACAACCCAGGUAAGAGCCACGGGGCUGCUCGCAAAGUCCCCGUGAUCGCUGUGGUGUGUGCCUGGCGUGUGUUUGCGUGCGAGUGUUUGUUGCUAGUUUUUCCGGCUCUCCCCUUCCAACAGCAGGGUGAUGACAAUUCAAGGCAAGCAUGUUUUCUGGCUCGUGGUUCCCGUCUCUGCCAUACUGUCCCUCUCCGUCUCCUCCAUCCUGAUGUAUAAGGAAUAAUAAAUCAUAUUUUAAGAGGUUGUUUGAAAACGGG
rnacentral:lncRNA from 1 species